rfam:Danio rerio chromosome 14, GRCz11 reference primary assembly.
AGCCACAGCCAUGUCACCCUGCAGCCCAAGAGCGGUUACUCACUGAAGCUAAGCAGGGCUGAGUCUGGUCAGUACCGGGAUGGGAAACCACAUGGGAAAACUAGGUUGCUGUUGGAA